rnacentral:lncRNA from 1 species
CAGGGCCGUAGCAUCUUCUUAAAGAAGGCGGCGCUAAAUACACAGGCGAAGUUAACGAAACAAACAGAAAUAGCACCGUUUCUUUGUGUUUUCAUGCCUUCGUUUGUGUAUUUUACGCUGCCUCCUUCACCCUUCCGAUGUGGCAUCUUUGUUCAAACAUGCCGAAUGUGAACGCAGUGAACGUGCGCGCACGUUUUGCACCCUGCAGCGUCGUUUGUUUGGCGUUGUGGCAGCUGCGACCACCGAGAUUCCAGUGCGCUGCGCUUGAGGAGUACAAAGAUCCACCGAGGAGUCCACCGCUCGGAGCGCGCACCACAUCCUUUGUCGCGGUGAACGGUCUGAUCUUGACACUUAAGCAAUAUCCACACUCUACGACCUGUAAUUUUUGAGGUAAGCGCGUUCCGGGGAGUAUGCGCCGAGAAAUUCCCAGGUUCUGCCGACCGUGGCCGCGAGAAGAGCAUUGUCCUCCUCUCGCGCAUUUUUCCAAGAUGACAGCACUCCCAAGCCUGUUACUGUCUAUGAAGACCGAUUGUGUGCAUGUGCAAACAGGAUGCAUUUUGCGAUCAUAACCCCUGGCCAGCUUGUUGCUGUAGGCUCUACAGGCAGUGCUAGCAGUAGUCUCUCCUAGCAACGAGGUUUACGUCGCUCUGGCUCCUUAUCGUCAUUGAGGAAAUCCUUUGAUUGCCUUUGGCAAGCGUGUCAUCUAUACUUUUCUUUAUUCUGUGUGCGUGUGUGUGCAUACAUCUGAAUAUUUUCCUUGUCCAUUUUGCAGCUAUGAGAUGAUCAUAGUCUUAACUAUCGGGAUUUUGCGUUGAAGCUUCGCUGUGGGUUGGUUAUGGUGCUCGCAUAAUAGUGCCGCAGUUGCUUUCCUGUCAUGUUUUCUGUUAAAUAAAUCUGGGCUCAGCGCGGUGAAGCCAGAUUUGGGAACUGCAUGGACAUUGUGCCACAAAGGAUUAAUCGGUGUGUGAAUAUAUACUCUCAGUAAGCCCGGCGCAAUGCGUGACGUGUGACUCCAGUCUGGGAACGAAAACAGGGGAAAGGCUCGAGGGGCUUGUUUCUUCACGAAACCAACAAACAGUGAAGCCAAGAAAAGCAUUGGAGACAUUAUUUGUUUUAGCUGUAGUGUAAUAAUUGUGGCAUAAAUGGAAAUGCAUUAAAGUUGAUGAAACAUUCAAAUUAUGCUUCAAAUUACCCAUGUUUUUUUUAAAAACUUAAUUCAUUCUAAAAACUAAUAAUAACAUCCCCAAGCUUCCUUUGGCUUCAUUGUUUGUUGCCUUCAUUAAGUCUGGGAAUUGUUAUUUUGUGAAAGUCGUUCAACCACUGCUUUGUAAAUUUUGUCGUUUCUCAUAUUACUUGUGUAAACGUGUUGCAAUUUUGUUGUUAAACUUUAUUUGGGCUUUUGUUUCAUUUAGCCGACGUUUACUGCUCAGUACAAGUUUUAAAUGUGUGUGGUAUUUUGCCUAAUCCAUAGCAUACUUUUCCGGCUCUUAGAGGGACACUAAAGCGAAACAGCGAAUCAAUAUAGACUGGUAAAUUAUUUUUUGAAAACUCUACUGUCAUUGAUUUCAUUAUCGUAGGUUUGUUCAUAGAAGAGAAAACGAAGGUCAAAGAUAAAUUUCUAAAUUUGG